rnacentral:sRNA from 1 species
CAGAUCGGAUCCAAUCAAAGCUGU